rnacentral:misc_RNA from 1 species
UAUAUAUUACAUCGCAUGAUCCAGCAAGUUUGCUUAAUUGCAUUAUAGAUGAAUGCGCUGCUUCAUCCAAACUAAAGGUUCCCACAAGAAUUGAAAAAACAGAACUUCCAUCAGGAUGGGAUUUAGGUAUAUCUCAGUUACUACCACCACCAAAGAGGUACCCCAGAGAAGAUCCACCACCAGGGGCAGCGUGGACUUUGGUUGAAGGUCGAUCCGUGAGGAAGUUUCCAGUAUUCUGGCCAUCUGCCCGCAUGUAGUUGUUUGCAGAAGAACUAUUAAUACCAGCUGGUAUCUGCUUGGUAGCAUCUACUGGCUGAGGAGCAACAGCAGGUUUGGAGGGAGGCACAUUAUUCACUGCCUGGACAUCAUCUGGAGCAGGUUGAGCACCAUUUGUGGAAGGCUUUGGAGCUUCUCCACUCCCAAACAGAUAACCCAAUGAACUUUGGCCCCCACCACUGCUAACUCCACGACCCAUGCUCUGGACUUGCUAGAAAAGAAAAUCUAAAACCUUAGCGAUUUUGAGUAUCAGAUCUGGAGAGCGGAAGCCAAAGCAGAGAGAGAGAGACUCUGAGAGUGAGAGCAGCAGCGCAGCAAGUGAAGC